rnacentral:rRNA from 1 species
UACGGAGGGUGCAAGCGUUAAUCGGAAUUACUGGGCGUAAAGCGCGCGUAGGCGGUUUUUUAAGUCGGAUGUGAAAGCCCCGGGCUCAACCUGGGAACUGCAUCCGAUACUGGAAGACUAGAAUGCGGGAGAGGGAGGUAGAAUUCCAUGUGUAGCAGUGAAAUGCGUAGAUAUAUGGAGGAAUACCAGUGGCGAAGGCGGCCUCCUGGCUCGACAUUGACGCUGAGGUGCGAAAGCGUGGGGAGCAAANGGU